UCUGUGGCCAAGCUCUAUUUAGCUGAGCCUCUGCACUCCGCCCCCUCUCUUUCCAGCUUCCUUUAGCCCCCUCUCUGCUACUUUCUCCUACUUUCCUAUUGUCUUUUACUAAAGAGAGGACCACGUGUCUCUUUCUCCAGGAGCAACUUCUGCUCUGCCCAGGCCGCUGAACUGGGCACCCUGUAGAGCAUGUGCCGCCUCUUCUAGUCCUCAAUUCUUGAGGGUAAAAGACCUCCCCAAGACUUAAAAAUUCUUUAUUGUUGUUUUUGCUUUGGUUUGGUUUUUUUCCUCCCCAGGAUUCUUUAACCAUCUUCCUGCUUGGUGCUCUCUUUAGAAUCAAAAAAAAAAAAAAAAAAAAAAAAAGAAAUUGCAUCAAAGGCAAAGCUGAGCCUGAUAUCCGAAGUUAUAGGUACUCCUAUGUACUUGCAGAAUGGAGCUGAAAUCCCACAAGAAGUCAAGACUCCUUCCAACCCAGAACUACCUCCCACAGUCUCCCUUGGUCAGAGCCAACAGACCUGUGUCUUUCUCCCCUUUGACUAGGAAGUGGGUCAAAGGUGGUGUGGGGGCUUCUGUGGUCUUGAUAACUCAGUAAGUAUUCACUAAAAGGCUGAGCAGAAGAUUCACUGAACCUCUUGCUCUCUGCACUCAGCACCCUGCCUCUAGUGUGCCCUGUGCACACCCUGAGAAAGGUGCCUUAGUUUGGACCCAGGAAAGUGGGAUUCUUCCCUAACCAUAGCUAGAAAUCCCUGCUUUUGUGUAAGAGUCUUUCUCAGAGGCCCGAUGACCUGGGGGCUGGAUGGGAGAGGUGGAGCCUCUCUGUCAGGUCAGGACAAGCCCAGGAAGAAGAAAGUAUUCCAAACAAGGUAGGCCAGCCCUACCCACCCUGUCUGCUUGUCUCUGCUUAGAGCAGCCUUUUAUGAGGCUUACACUGAGCAGCAGACAUGUCUGAACAAAGCAAAGAGGCCAAUGCAACCCUGCAAAGCUACUGCUUGGUGAGCAUUUUCUUUUGGGCAGGGACAGAAAGUCCACAGGUAUUGCAUGGCCUCUCAGUGUAUCUCAGUCUCUAAAAGCCAGUUAUAUUCUGGCCUGCCUCCCUUGACCUCCACCCUAGGCUCCUUGGAGAAGUCGUUCACUGCAGAUCUGGGGAAAGAUAUAUGGCCAUUAGAGACUGACUUUCUCAGACUGUGCUUCUCCAGGUCUGUUCCUGUUUAUGCAGACAAGCAGAGUCACUGUCCUUUUUCAGAAGAAUACCUGCUCCUCUGUAUUCCACCCCUUGGUAUGAAAUGAAAGAAUGUGUGCUUUCUCUAGAUAUCACCAAACAUACCCAGCUCUGGUACGGAAUACACAUUGAAGAGGAGAGCCAGCAUCCUAACUAGGUAUACAGAGAGGAGACUCCACUUGGAUGUAUCUGGGGUGGCCCUUAAUGGGCAAGAAACUACCUAGAGUCAAGCCCCACCCAGAGCAUUGGCUAUAACACCCAGAGCACUCUGAGGUGGGAACAUGAAUGCCUGAGGGUUUGAGUAUUCAGGUCCUAAUCAGGUCCUGAAUGAAUGAAUGAAUGAAUGAAUGAAUGAAUGAAUGAAUACAGGUAUUCAGGUCCUGUAAGAGUGGGGUUGCAGGAUCCUGAAGGUCUCCUUCAGGUCACACAGCACUACAAGAGGAGGCUUAGUAGACAAACAGCCCCAGACAAUCCAUGGGUCCUCUUGUCCUUCAUUCCACCGGAGUCUGUCUUAUGCCAACCAGAUUUCAGUGGAGUGAAGCUCAGGAGGCAUGGAGCUACCAGCGGUGGACUGAAGCACAGCAUUUGAACCGAGGCAUUCUGCAAAAACACAGUCACUAAAAGCACCUGCAGCAUGUGCUUUUGCAGAGGGAUGGCAAUGGCAGGCAAGAACACACUGCCAGUGAUUGCUGUGUGGCCUUUCUUCCUACAACCAAUGCUUCAGAAAUGUGUAUUUUCUGUAACUUGCAAAAUUAAAAAUUGCCUAUCUGCUG
rnacentral:lncRNA from 1 species